rnacentral:rRNA from 1 species
AAACGUUGCUCGGAAUUACUGGGCGUAAAGCGCGUGUAGGCGGGCUGAUAAGUCGGACGUGAAAUCCCUGGGCUCAACCCAGGAACUGCAUCCGAAACUGUCAGUCUGGAGUGGUGGAGAGGGAAGCAGAAUUCCUGGUGUAGAGGUGAAAUUCGUAGAUAUCAGGAGGAACACCGGUGGCGAAGGCGGCUUCCUGGACACUAACUGACGCUGAGACGCGAAAGCGUGGGGAGCAAACAGG